AGCGAACGCUGGCGGCAGGCUUAACACAUGCAAGUCGAGCGGGCAUCCUUGUGGUGUCAGCGGCAGACGGGCGAGUAACGCGUGGGAACGUGCCCUUCGGUUCGGAAUAACUCAGGGAAACUUGAGCUAAUACCGGAUACGUGCGAGAGCAGAAAGGUUUAUCUGCCGAAGGAUCGGCCCGCGUCUGAUUAGCUAGUUGGUGAGGUUAUGGCUCACCAAGGCGACGAUCAGUAGCUGGUCUGAGAGGAUGAUCAGCCACACUGGGACUGAGACACGGCCCAGACUCCUACGGGAGGCAGCAGUGGGGAAUAUUGGACAAUGGGGGCAACCCUGAUCCAGCCAUGCCGCGUGAGUGAUGACGGCCUUAGGGUUGUAAAGCUCUUUUCUUCGGGACGAUAAUGACGGUACCGGAGGAAUAAGCCCCGGCUAACUUCGUG
rnacentral:rRNA from 1 species